GAUCAUGGCUCAGGACGAACGCUGGCGGCGUGCCUAACACAUGCAAGUCGAGCGAGUGAAUUUCCUUCGGGAGUGAAGCUAGCGGCGGACGGGUGAGUAACACGUGGGCAACCUGCCUCAUAGAGGGGAAUAGCCUUUCGAAAGGAAGAUUAAUACCGCAUAAGAUUGUAGCUUCGCAUGAAGUAGCAAUUAAAGGAGCAAUCCGCUAUGAGAUGGGCCCGCGGCGCAUUAG
rnacentral:rRNA from 1 species